rnacentral:rRNA from 1 species
CGAAAGCCUGACGGAGCAACGCCGCGUGAGGGAUGAAGGCCUCUGGGCUGUAAACCUCUUUUCUCAAGGAAGAAGAACUGACGGUACUUGAGGAAUAAGCCACGGCUAAUUCCGUGCCAGCAGCCGCGGUAAUACGGGAGUGGCAAGCGUUAUCCGGAAUUAUUGGGCGUAAAGCGUCCGCAGGCGGCCGUACAAGUCUGUCGUUAAAGCGUGGAGCUUAACUCCAUUUCAGCGAUGGAAACUGUGAGGCUUGAGUGUGGUAGGGGCAGAGGGAAUUCCCGGUGUAGCGGUGAAAUGCGUAGAUAUCGGGAAGAACACCAGUGGCGAAGGCGCUCUGCUGGGCCAUAACUGACGCUCAUGGACGAAAGCCAUGGGAGCG